rnacentral:lncRNA from 1 species
CAAGCGAGGAUUUUGACAAUUCAAAACUUUUUCAAUGAAUUCCUUCUUUUUUGUUUGUUUUAUUAUUGAUCAAACCAAGGAGGUUAAAUGAUCUACUAAAUCAAAAAGAAAUCCACGAAUUACGUAUCAGAAUUUUUUUUUUGUAAUCAGCGAUCCACGAAUAUACGUAUACCACGAAACGUCUUUUUUUCUCUAUCCACGAAAAUUGAUACCCACGAAAAUAAAUGAAUCCACAGUACUUAAU